UCCUCCGUAGCUCAGUCAGUAGAGGAUGAGUCUCUUAAUCUCAGGGUCAUGGGUUGGAGCCUCAUGUUGGGCAAA